CUAUCGUCGGCGUAGGAGUCUUGCGUGGUCCGGCCACUAGUACGACAGGACCGUGGUUGACCGACCUCCGGUAUGCCGUUUGUGCCGCCAGGUCCACCGCCGGGUAUCCGCGUCGGGUUAGGAUAAGCGCUGAAAGCAUCUAAGCGCGAAGCCAGCCGCAAGAUUAGGACUCCAUGAGGGUCGUCCUAGACGAGGACGUUGAUAGGAUGCAGGUGCAAAGGCAGAAAUGUCAAAGCCGAGCAUUACUAAUCGCCCGAAGACUUCUAUAC
rnacentral:rRNA from 1 species